CUCUUUCUUCUCUCUCUCUUCUGCCUACGUGCUGCUCCGAGAGUCCAUCCAGCUGAGCCCGGCCGGGAUGAGGAGCCCCGGGUGCCGCCCGGAGACGAUCCAGCUGCGCGCACACCUCGCCGGCGGCGAACGGGGACAUGAGCAGCGAACGCGGGGUCCGGCGCCCGGCGGCUAGCCCCAGCCCGCGGCGGCCAGCGGGUCAACGCUGCCCGGGAGAAUGAGGCAGGAGUCGGCUGCAGCCUCCUCUUUCCCCUUCUUCUCGCCUUCCUCCGGCUUUGGCGCCCCCGGCCCGGGCCCGGCUGUGGCUGUGCUGCGUGCCCCGCGCGCCCCCCAACCGCCUCCGGAUGCGCUUCUCGGUUAGCCUGGUGAGGAAGAUAAAGACAUUUGCAACCAAGAUGGUAAUCACGAGUGGAAAUGAUGAAGACAGAGGAGGGCAAGAAAAAGAAAGCAAAGAGGAGAGUGUCCUUGCCAUGCUGGGGAUCAUCGGGACCAUUCUGAACCUCAUCGUCAUCAUAUUUGUAUACAUAUACACCACUCUGUGAAUGGCCCAGCGCGGCCUCAGGAUGGCCGGAGACGGGGGUCCUGCGUGUCCGCAGACGGGUGGCCCCACCCUGCGAGAACAAGCGGGCUGCACCUACACACGCCGGCCCACCAAAUGCACCUUCGAACCUCAAAAAAGGUCACAAAAAUAAACCGAUCCUGCUGAGAGGAGCAGACACUAAAGCACAAUGAAUCCAACAGAACCCAUUCACACCCCAAGGAACUCGACGUCUUUGGCAGGGGCCCCGGGAGAGCGCGUGGAAGACCAGCCUUCGACACCCCCGUGAGCGGAGGGGUGCGGAAACUCCUUACCCCAGAUUGCUGACAGAUGUCGCGCUUUCGGAAGGAUGAACAGGGGGGACGGGGCCCAGCCGUGUGUCUCCCAGAGCAGGUGUUCGGUCUUCACCCGCCAGGCCGUGCGGCGGGGAGCCGCGGGCGCAGUCCCGUGCAGGCCCCCACUCCACCGCCAGUGUCUGACUGUUUGAUACCAGGGAGAUAACUUAUUUUUCUUUCUCCAUUGGCUUGACGUGUGUACCUGUUCAUAUCAAGGUUUAUAAAUAUAUAUUUUUAAUAAAUGUGCUCUAUUUUUUAGCAUGAACCAAAUAUUCAAGACAGGCGCUCCCAGAUCCAUAGAGCUUUCCGUGGUUUUCUGUGCUCUGCCCCAUCGACUGCAAGAUGCUCUUUGUGGAGCUGCUCUAGUCUCUUGUCUUGAAUCCUUUACCUUUGCGCUCUCACAUUCUCUCUCCCUCUCUCUCUUUCUCUCUCUCUCUCUCUCUGUCUCUGGUCUGGAGGACAUGUUUCCAUAAUACCAGCCAUGGUUUUGGUCUGUGCAUGUUUUAAGAUUGUCCUUUGAGUGGAUUUUGUUGUAUCAGAGAUGUAAGAAGAUCGUGGGCAUGCAGACCUUAGACGCACCAUACCCUUACUGAGAAUUAUGCAUGAACAAGGGCUGAGUGACACAGAUCAGCUUUAAGGGUAAAAAAGGAAAAAACAAAAAGAAAAGGACUACCAUUGAGGAAGAAGAGCGCAGCUACAUUUGCAGAUCACCUGUUGGGUGGAAUAUUCAGCUUCUUGCUUACUGGCAGCAUUAUUCAUUCUUGUGGCCAUGCGUUUAUCAGAUUUUGAUUUUAAUGGUCGUGUAUUGUGAGUGAGGGGAAGAACACAGGAGGAAGCUCAGUAUUAGGUGCAUAGUCCCUCCCUUAGCAAGACGCCUGGGAUCCUCUUUAAAAGUAGUUGGGGUGCAAAUGGCACAUAAGCUCCCCACUGUGAGAGCUCAUGGUGGUUCAGGCCGUGAGGACAUUCCUGUGACAGGUGACUUCAGGAGGACACUAGGGGGAAUGCAACGAUGCCCUAAGGGAUUGCUGUGCUUCUUAAAGCUCCUUGUUUACACCCACGUGAAGCUGCUUCCUCUCUGGCAGGGAUGGUCAGAUAAAUACAAGCUAGCCCCGUUCUCCUGCCCCCGGAAAUGGGCCCUUGCCUGGCUACAGUGGCUCGGCCUUAAAGAAAGUGUCCGUGUUCCUUCUGCCAGUGCCAGCCUUGCCCGUGGGCAGAAGCAGCAGCAGUCUGCCUGGUUGGAUUCAAGUGAUGCCGAGGAAGUCUCAGCCUCCAGAUCUCUCCCCACUCCACGCAAUGGUAUCUGCAAUUCCACCAUUAGAGAGUCAUUUCUUGGGCUCCGCUAAGGGACCAGGCUCUUUAAUAAAGCCAGUGCCCCUGGGCACCUGGUUCUGACAUUGAUUCAUCAGAUGUCUUUUCUUCCCUGCCAGAAGGAAGGAAGCUAAGGUGUAUUUAGGGCAUACUGUGUGCUAGGCACCGUGCCAGACAUGUUAUGUACCUUAAAUUAUUGAUUUCUCAUGGUAAACCCGUGAGAGAGGGAGUCCUUCCCCCACGCUGUAGAAGAAGACAGGAGGGCUCAAAGAGACCAGGAACCUUCCCUGAGAUGGCCACAUGGUCACUAGUGGAGUUGGGAUUCAAACUCCAAUCUGGCCCAUUCCUUAGUUCUGUGGGGCCUGGAGGCCACUGGGCAAGAGGGGACAGAGGUGGCAACGUCCAGGAAAGACCCCUGGGGGGUCAGGACACACAGCCGGGUGUUUUGCUGAGGGCCAGCUCUGCACACCUCCCUUCCCCCUCCCUGGUGAAAACAACCCCCCCGGGAACCCCUUGGGCACUGGCAGAAUGUCAUACAAGUGAGGACAGGGGACGAGAGGGGCUGGGCGGAAACAAACCAGCAUGUCGAGGGGAAGGAGCCACCUCACAGACUCUGUGACUUGAGAAAGACUGUAUGAAAAUUCUGAACAGUGAACAAAGUAAACAAUAAAGGUGCAAUGGAAAAAAAAA